rnacentral:tRNA from 2 species
AUUUAAAUAGCUUAUAUUUAGAGUUUAAUAUUGAAAAUAUUAAGGAAAAUUUUAUUUUUUAAAUA